rnacentral:rRNA from 1 species
GGCGAACGCUGGCGGCGAGCCUAACACAUGCAAGUCGAACGGAAGGGCCAUGAUUCUGUGGGGUGCUAGAGUGGCAAACGGGUGAGUAACACGUGAGUAACCUGCCCUUGAUUUUGGGAUAACUUCAGGAAACUGGACCUACUCCCGGAUAGGAGCUCCUGCUGCAUGGUGGGGGUUGGAACGUUUCGGCGGUUGGGGAUGGACGCGCGGCUUAUCAGCUUGUUGGUGGGGUAGUGGCAUACCAAGGCUGUGACGGGUGGCCGGCCUGAGAGGGUGACCGGCCACCAUAGGACUUGGAUACGGCCCAGACUCCUACGUGUGGCAGCGGACGGGAAGCUUGCACAGUGAUCCGAGGCCUGAUGCAGCAACGUCGCGUGUGGUAUGACGGCCUGCGGGUUGUGAACCGCGUUCGCCUGUGACGAAGCGUGAGUGACGGUAAUGGGUAAAUAAGCACCGGCUAACUACGUG